AUUGAACGCUGGCGGCAGGCCUAACACAUGCAAGUCGAACGGCAGCACAGAAGAGCUUGCUCUUUGGGUGGCGAGUGGCGGACGGGUGAGUAAUGUCUGGGAAACUGCCCGAUGGAGGGGGAUAACUACUGGAAACGGUAGCUAAUACCGCAUAACGUCGCAAGACCAAAGUGGGGGACCUUCGGGCCUCACACCAUCGGAUGUGCCCAGAUGGGAUUAGCUAGUAGGUGGGGGAAUGGCUCACCUAGGCGACGAUCCCUAGCUGGUCUGAGGGGAUGAACAGCCACACUGGAACUGAGACACGGUCCAGCCUCCUACGGGAGGCAGCAGUGGGGAAUAUUGCACAAUGGGCGCAAGCCUGAUGCAGCCAGGCCGCGUGUAUGAAGAAGGCCUGCGGGUUGUAAAGUACUUUCAGCGGGGAGGAAGGCGGUGAGGUUAAUAACCUCGCCGAUUGACGUUACCCGCAGAAGAAGCACCGGCUAACUCCGUGCCAGCCGCCGCCGUAA
rnacentral:rRNA from 1 species